GACGAACGCUGGCGGCGUGCUUAACACAUGCAAGUCGAACGAAGAGCGAUGGAAGCUUGCUUCUAUCAAUCUUAGUGGCGAACGGGUGAGUAACGCGUAAUCAACCUGCCCUUCAGAGGGGGACAACAGUUGGAAACGACUGCUAAUACCGCAUACGAUCUAAUCUCGGCAUCGAGGAUAGAUGAAAGGUGGCCUCUACAUGUAAGCUAUCACUGAAGGAGGGGAUUGCGUCUGAUUAGCUAGUUGGAGGGGUAACGGCCCACCAAGGCGAUGAUCAGUAGCCGGUCUGAGAGGAUGAACGGCCACAUUGGGACGGAGACACGGCCCAGACUGCUACGGGAGGCAGCAGUGGGGAAUCUUCCGCAAUGGACGAAAGUCUGACGGAGCAACGCCGCGUGAGUGAUGACGGCCUUCGGGUUGUAAAGCUCUGUUAAUCGGGACGAAAGGCCUUCUUGCGAAUAGUGAGAAGGAUUGACGGUACCGGAAUAGAAAGCCACGGCUAACUACGUG
rnacentral:rRNA from 1 species